rnacentral:rRNA from 1 species
GACGGGGGAUGCGAGCGUUAUCCGGAAUGAUUGGGCGUAAAGGGUCCGCAGGUGGCCCGGUCAGUCCGCUGUCAAAGCCUGGGGCUCAACCCUGGAGAGGCGGCGGAGACCACCGGGCUUGAGUCCGGUAGGGGCAGAGGGAAUUCUUGGUGUAGCAGUGAAAUGCGUAGAUAUCAAGAGGAACACUAGUGGCGAAGGCGAGUCCCUGGACGAUACCUGACACUGAGGCACGAAAGCUAGGGGAGCAAACAGG